rnacentral:lncRNA from 1 species
CUAAGGAUGUUGAGUACAGUGUUACGGAUUUCAGUCUGAAAGAGGCGCCCUCUUGAUUUAAGGGUCGUGCAAAGUCGAGCUAACCGACUUUAAACAAAGCGCUGCGUGGGAGGCAACCCACGAGUUUUUUAAUCUAAUGUUUUUGUUUUUAUUUGAAUUUUACAGCAAAUAAAGAGUUUGAUCGCCUGACAAGCGUGAAUCUCCAGGUUUCGCGUUCCAAACCUUAGCAUGAUUCACAACAGUGAGGACACUGUUGGAUUUAAGUUUAGGGGAGGACUUUAUUGCUUUCAUUUACUUUCCAGUAUUAAUUUUACUUUUCUAGUUUCCCUUUCUUGCAAAUAAAUUUUUUUCGGUGUAUUUUUAAUUUUUCCAAAAUCCUGAGCCAUAACAAAAAUUUAUAAGAAACAAUACAAUUUUGAAAUUCCAGAGUCACAGACGUAAUCAAGAUUGAAUUUUCAAAUUAAGUGUAUUUUUCGUACCAGCUAUAUCAUUUUAACACCGUAAAUUUCUUAAUUAUGUAGACCAAUUUGGAUACUUGCUAGAAACUGAAUUUAAAUUUCUUGACACUUUACUAAUCCUUGAGUAAGCCUAUAGGUAGUCGGCACCAUCUAUGAUCACUAUCUAAGUAGUUGAGUCGACGAAUAUAAGUGAAUGACUUUGAAUGAAUAAAUAAAAAUGAAAAUCAAGGAUGUAUAAAUCUGAAAAGGGACUACGCACUCUAAGUUAGAUGACUCUUACCCGGUCAUUUAGCCCAACUGUGAAAUACCUCAAAGACAUAAAAAUAUCCUAUGAUAUAAAAAGAGAAAAAUGAGCAACUUGAGAAAGAAUCGGGUCAUAAUCACUAACAGACUCACUACCAUGUGUGUGUGAAUAGAUAACGGGCUUAAUGUGAUUACCAUGGUCGAAAAAGGAUAACUGAAGUAGAAAUGAAAGUUAAGUUCAGAUAUAGUAAAAUAAUUCGGAACGGUCUAUAUAAGGAAGAAAUUCAUGUUCAUGUUUGAUUUGUGUUUCCAUGAUAUUUUUGGUACGAUAAAUAAAUUAAUUUGUCUAAUUUGGUCGAGAUUAAAAACAUGACUAUUGGAAAAUCUUCUUGUUUUGUUUUCUCUAUCACUAAAUUAUAUUCUUUUUGCUUGAGGACAAGCAAUGGUUCAAGUUUAGGGGAGUUUGAUAACACCGAAAAAUGCACUAUUUAUUUAAUAAAAUUAGGUUAGUAUUUUACUAUUUCUUUGCAUUUUUCGUAGUAAUAUUACUAUUAUUUUUAUGUAUUUCAGGAAUGUCCGGAAGCUACCAAAUAAUUUAUAAGUUACAAAAUAAAUGCUAAUAAAGAAUUGGAUCGAAUCAGAAAGUAAAAAAGGAGGUGAAGGCCGCACAAGUGCAGCCUAAAUGAGCCACACAAGUGCAGCCCAAAACAAACAACCAAGCCCAAUCACAAGAAAUAUAUGGCGCACGUCAUACCUCCACCCACACAUUUGCUAUUUAAUAGCAACACAAGAAUCACAUGCACUAUGUGACACCCACCACAUUUGCUAAUUAAUAGAGCACCUGUGCGCCAUACACUAUGUGGCACCCGCCACCUCAUCCACUUCCUUCAGAAUAGCACGCAGCAACGCAUCAAGGGAUUAACAGGAAAAAUAUCUCCUCAGUCUAUAAAUAGAGAUCCAUCUCUCACUUUAAAGGCAACGCUUCAUUACUAGAAUUUAAGAGCAGAUAGUAAAUAUUUUACUUCCUUGUUUUCAAUUCAGUUUAGCAUUCAAGCUUGUUCCGGUGACAUUAUUUUCAAUUCCAGUUUAUUAAGGUUCUAAUCUCUUGUUCUAUUUAUCUUAUUUUAUUUAUUUGUUACAAUUUGUUCACUGUUCUUUUAAUUCAGUCACUGUUUGUUCAAGUUUUACAUCUUCCAGUACCUAUAGUUACUUUAUUUAUGUUAAUGUUUAUUUAUUUAAUUAUUAUGUU